GAACGCUGGCGGCAUGCCUAACACAUGCAAGUCGAACGGUAACGCGGAGAGCUUGCUCUCUGGCGACGAGUGGCGGACGGGUGAGUAACACUUAGGAAUCUGCCCAGUAGUGGGGGACAACAUUCGGAAACGGAUGCUAAUACCGCAUACGCACUACGGUGGAAAGUGGGGGAUCUUCGGACCUCACGCUAUUGGAUGAGCCUAAGUCGGAUUAGCUUGUUGGUAGGGUAAUGGCCUACCAAGGCGACGAUCCGUAGCUGGUCUGAGAGGACGAUCAGCCACACUGGGACUGAGACACGGCCCAGACUCCUACGGGAGGCAGCAGUGGGGAAUAUUGGACAAUGGGCGCAAGCCUGAUCCAGCAAUGCCGCGUGUGUGAAGAAGGCUUGCGGGUUGUAAAGCACUUUCAGUAGAGAAGAAAAGCACAGGGUUAAUAUCCCUGAGUCUUGACGUAACCUACAGAAGAAGCACCGGCUAACUCCGUG
rnacentral:rRNA from 1 species